rnacentral:rRNA from 1 species
UACGUAGGGGGCAAGCGUUGUCCGGAUUUAUUGGGCGUAAAAGGCUUGUAGGUGGCCACGCCAAGUCGGAUGUGAAAUCUCCCGGCUCAACUGGGAGGGGUCAUUCGAUACUGGCGGGCUCGAGGCCGGUAGGGGGAAGUGGAAUUCCCGGUGUAGUGGUGGAAUGCGUAGAUAUCUGGAGGAAUACCGGUGGCGAAGGCGGCAUCCUGGACCGACAUUGACGCUGAGGAGCGAAAGCUAGGGGAGCAAACGGG